rnacentral:rRNA from 1 species
UACAGAGGGGCGAGCGUUGUUCGGAAUUACUGGGCGUAAAGGGCGCGUAGGCGGCCAACUAAGUCAGACGUGAAAUCCCUCGGCUCAACCGGGGAACUGCGUCUGAUACUGGAUGGCUUGAAUUCGGGAGAGGGAGUGCGGAAUUCCAGGUGUAGCGGUGAAAUGCGUAGAUAUCUGGAGGAACACCGGGUGGCGAAGGCGGCAUCCUGGGCCAAUACUGACACUGAG